UUUUUAAGGUGUGACCCUGCCACAGUGAACAUCACUGAUGAGAUGUCUAAAGGAUCUUUCGGAAAUGUGUGGAAGAAUGUCGACCCUAGUGAGACCACGAAGAAGGAGCCAAGCGCUAAAAGCUCCCCUUCCUAACCUCUCAGAAGCUGAUAUCCCAAAGUUCUAGCGGCGAAAAGCGACACAAACGCCGGAGGCAUGAUAAGAGCUUGGACAGGGAGACAAGUUUGUGAUGACACCUACUUUCUGGCGGUGCCACUGUGCUGUCAAUCAGUAGAUCAAAAAACAAAAAAAAGCUGUACCGUGCCACACUCAACCACCUUUGUACUGUGCUACACUGUGUUUUCGUCAUGUAAGUCUGUGUGCAAGUUGUGUAAAACAAAGAAUUUGUUAGAAACAGUAUUAGCACGGGAAGGAAUCAGGACACAGUUGUGUUCUUUUUCAAUGUAUAUCAAUGUUUGGUGAUACCAGCGACAGACGGAAGCCAGAAUUAUACGACACUUACAAAAGCUGCUGUGUCAAUGGGCCAAUUAAAUAACCAUUUUAAACAAUUUUUAAAUCUACUUUAUUUGUAUUUUGUAUGUUUUUAUAUUUUUCCAACAGUAGUUGUAAGAUGUCCUAAGCCUGCCACAGCCGACUGCAGAUGUGUGUGCAGUAUUUAAUGCCACUAUUGACUUGAUGCACCUCGAAAAGUAGACAUUUGCCUAAUCUAUUUCACUGGUAUCUAGGAGUUGGUUAUAUAACAAAACUAGUAAUUUUUUGGAAAGUAUUAAAUAUACAUUUUCUAUAUUCUGUAUAUCUUAAUGUUUUUGUGACAGUAACAGCUCAUAUCGCUCCAGAGUUUUCUCCCUUUCUAUUUUACAAAUAAAUGUCUCUCGUCCAGUAAAGCAUUCCCCCGCACGAGUUAAAGGAACAGUCUUUCUGGUUAUUACUCUCAUUCCUUUUCUGCUAGAUGACAAGAUCGAUACCCCUCUCAUGCCUGUACACUAAACAUAAAGCUAGCUCAAGACUUAAAACACGUAAACAGCUAGGCUGGCUCUGACCAAAUGUAACAAAAAUAGCCAAAAUGUCUCUGAUUAAUAACUUUAAAUGUUGUUUGUAUUAUCUGUGCAAAAACCAAAAUGUAAAAAGGUAUUUCUUUUGUUGCUGCUAUUUUUUGGCAGGUAGCAUGCGACAGCUUAAUUUUUAGCAAACAGACACGAGAGCGGUAUUGGUCUAUCUCUAUACAAAAAAAAAGUGAAUAAGCAUAUUGACCGAGUUAAGCUCUUCCUUUAAUGACAGUAUUCGUUUACUGGCACACAUUUCCAUGCUAGCAUCUAAGCAUAGUGCUGGAACGUUCAGUACCUGCAGCUACUCGCCUUGGCUUUUCAAUCCCUUUUUCAUCCAUUUUGCAAAUACCGAACUAGAGUGACACUAUUUUAAGCUCUAUGUUCUCCACCUUGGUCAUCUUGUCAGUAAGUGUCAUCCAUGGACAUGUGAUCUCCUAUCCAAAUGACCCUCAUUAUUUUAGCAUCUGAAGCUAAUUGUUUUAAACAAAACACCUGCAUGCUGUUGAAUCAGACAUGAAUGUCUUGCUGCAGACCGUGGUUACUUCUAGAGAUGCAAUAAUACCUUUUUUCUGGGAAGGGCAACAUGUAAUAAAUGGUAAAGAGUCUUAACAAUGUAUAAAACAUAGUAUAUUUUAUUCAUGUAAAAUGUUACUAAUAUAUUACUAACAUGAAGUCAGUGUUGAAGGCAGGUUUUGUUGUAGAUGUUCUUUUCCCAUUGUCUAAUUGAUGGUUCUUAGUUGUUUAGAGAAACUAAUAAGGGGUCAGAAUUAUAUCAAUAUCAAAUAUUUUGACCACUUCUGUGUUGAAAUCUGCCUUAAAUUUGGUAGUGAUAGAUGUACACUUUCUGUUUAAAUAAUUUAAGACACCUGUAAAGAAACCUAUCAGUUCAGAUUUGUUGUUAAAUUGUGCUUUGUUUAUGAGAAUGGGAGCGAGAGUGAUUGAGAGCAUAAAUAAAGAUCUAAAAUGAUGAA